rnacentral:rRNA from 1 species
UACGUAGGGUGCAAGCGUUGUCCGGAAUUACUGGGCGUAAAGGGCUCGUAGGCGGCCAACUAAGUCGGAUGUGAAAUCCCCAGGCUCAACCUGGGAACUGCAUCCGAUACUGGAUGGCUUGAAUUCGGGAGAGGGAUGCAGAAUUCCAGGUGUAGCGGUGAAAUGCGUAGAUAUCUGGAGGAACACCGGUGGCGAAGGCGGCGUGCUGGACUGCAACUGACACUGAGGAACGAAAGCCAGGGGAGCAAACGGG